GGAUGAGAGCAUGGGGCAGGCAAGCCGGAUCCCUGCCCGACCCCCGUCCUUUCCACGGGAAGGAAAGGCACGACCCAAGAGGUCGGGGAGGAUAUCCACGGCUCGACCGAGACGAGCGAACUCCAGCCGUCAGCCAAGAUCCAGCGCCCCCGGCCGCCUCCGAGCUCCACCGCCGGCGACAGAAGUGACGCUCCCGACCCCCUCCCUCCGGUGCUCACGAUCCAACUCCGCCCCUCCAGCGACGGCGACGGACCGGAUCUACCCUCCGCCUCGCAGCUCCGAUCCCCUCCGGCGACGGCGAAGGCGUCGGUUCCGCGGACGUAUUCUAUCUCAUUCUUCUCAUCUGCUCAUAUAUUUUGUACAGAAGUAAAAAAAAAAUUGCACUACAUAUGUGACAUCAGAUUUCAUAUGUUAUAGGAGGUACACAGCAUUUUAUUUACCAGAUCAUGAAGGCAAACUUUAUUAUUUGUUUACUUUGCCACAUUCUUGCCAAGUUCCUGCUUUUUAAAUUGGCUGCAUGCCUAGUGUCAUCGUGCUAAUCUAGAUACAUGCCUACUGUCUUUGUAUAUGUAAACAUUCAGUCAAAGAAUAAGAUGCGGUCUGAAAAUUCACAUAUGGAAGGGACUAGUCAGCCUGUACGGCUUGUCCUAAUUUUAAUUUUGAAGGAUAUGGUCUGAAAAAUUACAUAUGAAAAUUAUUUCCAUUCAAGUUCUCCCCUUUUGUUUUGCACCAAGCUAUUGAACCAAGGUUUAGGAGCAUCAAAAUUAGAUAAUUAUUCCCAUUCAAGUCCUUGCCACUAUACACUGCAUAGAUUAUUGCUGUUUCUCUUUUUGCCAUCACAAUUACAAUUGGGAGCAGCAAGAUUAGAUAAUUAUUUAGUCAUACUAGUAUGUAUAUUGUCAUAACUUGGAAGAAUCAGUGAUUGGUAGUCGCUGCUAACCGGCGUUCUGGUGGAGUGCAAGUGGUAAAUACAUUCAUGACAUGAAAAAUUGAGUAUGAAUGUCAGCUUUGUGUAGUUCAGUCAGCUUCCUAUAGGUUUGUUUUUCUCACCCUGCAUAGCUAGCUAGUAUAUAUGUAGUCUUCUGUAGUUUGUUGUGCACUCUGCGGAUUUAGAGCUAGGAAGAAGCAGUGAAGGGAGGGACCUCAGUAGGACAGCAUGAGUUGACGGUCGCUACGAUGUGGGAACCGUUGACCGGUAAACUCUGAAUCAGUUGAGCACCCAAAUGCCAAAUUUUCCAUGGUCAUUCUCUCAAAAUAGAAAUAUGUUACAUAAUUAAAGCCUCUGAGCCCUAUUGAUGCGCAAAGGCAUGGGUGACAAAGUCCGGCCGACCUCACCGUGAUGCAGGACCGGCGGCCACCCUUGACCCUCUGCUAGAGUUAGGUCCCAUCCUGAGCGGUCCGCUGCUCUGGGCGACAUCGGAGGUGGGCUGGUCAGUGGCAUAGAUACUAGAACUUGAGUUGGGAUCACUGCUGGUGCUAGCGGUGUUGAUGGUGCCAUUCAUGUCUCGCUGCAAAGUUGUUGAACAAGGCAAGACCGAUCACCCAUGAACUGAAGCACACAUGCGUGUGCAGUGUGAGCUAAGUAAGCUGGUAAUUCAUUCGGGCAUUGUGCAUGGUACUCAUUCAUAUCGCUGCCUUCUCUUGAUCUUCAGUUUAAAAGAUGAACCCUCAAUUGUCAAGUUGAGUUAACAGGGGCAGCGGGGUAAUGGGAGUUUGAUUGUCAAAUUCAGAAUGUCAAGUUCGGUUAACAGAUGUCAUGAUGGAUCACGUGACAUCUGUUGAAAUUGUAGUCUGUAAUUCUUGGGUUGUUGGUCUAAAUCUGGAGUUUCUAGAGAAUCAAGUACUCAAAAGAACCUUCUAGAGUAGACGACAACAGACAAAUGUUACAGCUAUAUGUAGAGUUACACUUUUUUCUGUAAUCCAAUGAUGCUGAAUUGUGUGGAACUAAUCUACUAUUACCUGUAUCUGUUCUUGAUUUUCAGUUAGAAAGCUUGAAGAAAAUAUCUGUUGAAUUGUAUGAAACCAUUUACUAAACAGUUGUAUAUUCUGAAAUAGUUGCUGACUUCCUCAUUGUUUAUAAUUCUGCCACCUUUGAGUUGCAGUUCCAGGCCGAUGAGGAAGAUAAGGACUACUGACCGCUGCCUUACAACUUAUAUCUUCAAGAAGUAUUGCUAGCCCGGACACGAAUAUUUGAUAAUCGAUAACUUUUUGUAUGGAGAGAGAGGUCUGCGACAACCUCACAAUUCUUAUAUGAUUCAUUUGUAUCGGCGUUGGCCUGACAGUUCUAAAUUUGGGAACCUGUCGAACAAUGAUGGCUAUUCUUAUUCUAGCCCAUGAAAAUGGUCACAUGAUGUUUUUGUUUGUACACGAGAGAUCUUUUUCAGCUGCAACAUCAUAUAUAUUUCAUACUAAAUUCUGACAUUUGUGUAUUGCUGUUCUUAUUCUAGUCCAUGAAAAUAGUCGCAUGAUGUUUUUGUUUGUACGCGAGAGAUCUUUUUCAGCUGGAAAAUCAUAUAUAUUUCAUACUAAAUUCUGACAUUUGUGUAUUGCUGUUCUUAUUCUAGCACAUGAAGAUGGUCACAUGAUGUUCUUGUAUGUAAUGGUCACAACUUGAUUGCAGCGAGAGAUAUUUUCCUAGCCACAGAGCCAUAUCUUUCAUACUAAAUUAUGACUGUAUGCUGGAGCGCCUUCCCCUGCUUACCAAACUGCCACAGGGACAGGGAAAAGGGGUGAUAUCCCCGUUGGAGAUGGGGAUCACCUGUGUUGGUGAAAAUCCCCCGCAGGGGUCUUUCACCCUGGGUUAUCCUUCCCUUGUAACCAAACAAAGCCUAAGAGUGAACGAGAGCAAACCAGCAGACGCCGCCGGGCCGGCAACCAGCAGUAAAGACGGAUGGAUCAGACUGGAGAGGCAACGAUCUGAACACCUAAGAAGAAAGGAUGGCACCAGGACGUUUGGGUUUGCACCAAAUAUCUAUUGGGCUGGUAGCGGUCUUAUUGCACUUCACUGAGCAAGGCAAUGGAUGGGUACUAAAUUACAGAGGAUUCUGUCGCCGGUAAGAGAUACAACAGAAAAGUGUAGUUAUUUUCGAUAUACUGAAUGUUGCAGGUAAGAAGAGAUCGACCAUUACAGAAUGAUACUGCUAUAUGAACUACAGGGAUUAAUGGGAAACGUCGGGCAGCUCCUACUAAAUUCAAAAUAUGCCAGGCUGAUUCCUUGAAGAACAAAAGAAGUUCUAUGUGCCUCUGUGUCCACCCAACAAUAAUGCUGGCAACGGUGUUCAUCCGGAACUGUCGUUAAAUAUUGGUGCUGUGUAUCAGACGGAUAUUGGCACCGAGUGUAUUGUUUCCCCCUACAAAUGACUGUUUACUUUCAGACUCACAACUUAUCUAUGUAUGCGGUAAUGAUACCAUUCGAACAUCUUUUCGUUAACUGAUGGUGGUAUGGAAGAAAACAUGAAUUCUUAUCAA